rnacentral:rRNA from 1 species
ACCUCUGCAAUAGGCGAAAGCCUGACAGGGUUAUUCUGAGUGACUUUCGCUAAGAAAGUCUUUUGACACCUCUAAAAAUGGUGUAGAAUAAGGGGUGGGCAAGUCUGGUGUCAGCCGCCGCGGUAAUACCAGCACCCCGAGUGGUCGGGACGAUUAUUGGGCCUAAAGCAUCCGUAGCCGGUUUUACAAGUCCUCCGUUAAAUCCAACUGCUUAACAGAUGGGCCGCGGAGGAUACUAUAAGACUAGGAGGCAGGAGAGGCAAGCGGUACUUAGUGGGUAGGGGUAAAAUCCGUUGAUCCAUUGAAGACCACCAGUGGCGAAGGCGGCUUGCCAGAACGCACUCGACGGUGAGGGAUGAAAGCUGGGGGAGCAAACCGGAUUAGAUACCCGGGUAGUCCCAGCUGUAAACGAUGCAGACUCGGUGAUGAAUAGGCUUCGUGCCUAUUCAGUGCCGCAGGGAAGCCGUUAAGUCUGCCGCCUGGGGAGUACGGUCGCAAGACUGAAACUUAA